CCGCCGCCGGCGCGAGGCCUCAACUGCUCUCCCCACUGCUUCCUCUCCCCGGCACGCAGUCGCACGCCGCAUCCUCUCCCGCCACAUCGUCGCCCAGCGCAUCCUCUCCCCCUCCCCACGGCCUUGCGCCGCCGCCUCCUCUCCCCACCAUAACCUCGCCUUGCCGCUAACACCGUCGGCCUUCCCUAGAUCGACUCUGCCGUCGCCGUACACAUGUCCCAGCGCAGAUCCAGAUGCGAGCUAGAGGAGCGUGCUGGACACGAUGCGGGAGCAGGCAUCUCGGAGCGGCCCGAGGUUCAGUGCGUCUCGUGCCCCUGUGAUAGUCGGCCUCGUGCUUGGCUCCCACAUUCAAUCCGGGAAGGCGCUCGCAGCUCGCUUACGUGCUCGACUACUCCAGUUACUUGAUGGAUUCAGGCUACUAUAAGAAAUGGCAACUUGGGGCAUGACUUGCAAGAAAGGGAUUCUAUGACAGAAUGACAUUGCUUCAUGGUUUCGGGGUAUGUAGAGAAUGUGAUGUUUAGAAAAAUCUGGGCAACAGCAGCAUUUCCAAGGUGACAAAUAUGUUCUUAUUUUGGCUUGAGACAUUGAAGAGGGGAUGUCUGGCCAUGAAGCCACCUUAUUGUGAUCGCCAUUGUAUAAUGUCUUUGUUGGGGUAUCUGCUUCUUUCAUGCUUGGAAACAUUGAUGAGGGGAUGUCUGUCCACAAAAUAUGUAAAUACCUCAGGAGGAGCACGGGCAGACGAGUUCCAGCGAAGACAGCGGAGGCGAGAUUGGACGCUUGCGGCACGGCAAUGUCGAGCCUAAGUCAAGCCAGACUGAAAGUAGAUGAGGUACCAGUGUUCAUAGACAUGUUGAAGGAUGUCGUAUAUGGAAACAGUUAACAAAAAUACCUGAUGUAAAGCUGACUUGUCAAAGAGCUUAAUUGAAACGAAGGUGACAACCUGUGAAACUGGCAGGUUAAUUGUAAAGCUGAGCUUAAUUGAACCGAAGGUGACGACGCGUGAAACUGGCAAGUUAAUUGAACCAAAA